GGAAUAAUGAGCGGUCAACUUUAUUAUGCGUUUGGAAUCUGGGGGCUCUUCCUCUGGCGUGCUGCUUCCUCUGCGGUAAUGGCGCUUGAAAUUGAUAGAAUCAGCUCCCUCUCUAACGAUAUCCUCCAUCAUAUUCUCUCUCAUUUGCCGAUCAGAGAAGUUGGAAGAACUUCAAUUUUGUCGAAGCGAUGGAGAGAUGAUUGGGCUUUUACUCUUUACUUCAAUGUUGUCAAGGAUCGUACCCCUGGAUUUCUAGCUAAUAAGUAUGAAUGGUUCACUCGAAUCGAUUGGGCCCUUCUUUUCCACACUGAAAACAUUCAUGGGUUUCUGGUGGAUGUAACCCAGAAUCCUGAUCAUAUCGAUUGCUGGGUGAAUUAUCUCUCUAGAAAAGACGUACAAGAACUUACAAUGGAAUUUGUUACAGACGAAUAUGUGGAUUACGCUUUCCACCGCUCUUUUUUCUUCUGUACUUGCUCUCUGAGUCCUCCAUCUGGCUUUAAUCCCCCAUCUGGCUUUAAGGGUUCCAGUCUCUGAAGUUUCUCUCUCUAAAACGGAUAGAACUCGAUGAUGCCAUACUUGAGUCGCAUCUGGAGCACUUAGAAGUUGAGAAUUUUAAAGGUCUCUCGCGAAUCAAAUUUGAUGCUCCUAAUCUUGUCCUUCUAAGUGGUUGUGGAAAUUUCUGGGACAUUAACUUGAAGAAGUGUCCCAACAUCUUACAUUAGGACCUUCUUUUAACUCUGGUGAUUCAGGUCGCGAGUGGCUACGCUGUCUUUGUCCAAUUGGAGUCAAUUAGCUUGUAUAUCAUAAGUCUACGGUUCUUCAAGACCAUGGGUCUAAAGUUGAUAGGCAGAGCUCUCUCUCACGAAAUUCUCCGUCACAUUCUCUCCCUCUUGCCUAUACGAGAAACAAGAAGAACUUCAAUUCUAUUCAAGCGAUGGAGCGACCUUUGGGCUUCUACUCUUUUCUUCAAUGUUGAGAAUGACAUAGACCCUUCUUCAAUGUUGAGAAUGAUGCAGACCCCAUUCAACAGAAUGAGCUCGAUUGGGUCACUAUAAUUGAUUGGGCCCUUAUUCUCCAAAUAGGAGCCAUUCUUGGGUUUUGCCUUCGUGAAGGCAUUGAAUCUGUUGAUAUCGAUAGAUGGCUAUAUUCACUCUGUUGAAAAGGAUUGCAAGAACUCACGAUCACAACAUUGCAAGAACUCGUGAUCAAGUUCUAUCCUGACAAAGAGGAAGAUGAAGAGGGGGCAAGGAAGAUGAAGAGGAGAAAGAGGAAGAUGAUGAGGCGUGAUACAAAAUCCAAGCGCUUGCUUUUUGCGUGUAGCUCGUUGGUCUCUCUCAAUUUGACAGCUUCGUGCUGAGACCACCGUCUUGUUUCAAGGGUUUUUAGCCUCUAAAGUUCCUCUCUCUUGAAAAGGUAUCUCUCCAUGAUGGCAUACUCGAGUCCCUAAUUUCAGUAGUCCGCAAUUGGUGCACCUAAAACUCGAGGAAUGCAGCGGCCUCUCGCAUAUCAAGUUCUUGCUCGAAAUCUUGUAUUUUUACAUAUUUAUGGUGAUUUUAGAAACAUUAAUUUGAAUAAGUGUUCCAACAUUAAUAAGUUAAGUGUUCAUAUGUUAAACGAAAAUGACAAUUGGGGUGGCAGGCUAAGCGAGUAUCUAAAGGGUUUGCUUCGAUUAGAGUGGCUUGUCUUGUAUGAGUGGAGCUUGUGGGUAAGAGUUCUUUCCAAAUUUCUCUGUAUUUAUCAAUCUUCUCUAUUGAUAGUGUU